rnacentral:rRNA from 1 species
GACGAACGCUGGCGGCGUGCCUAACACAUGCAAGUCGAACGGAGUUAUAAGUUAAGUUUACUUGACUUAUAACUUAGUGGCGAACGGGUGAGUAACGCGUGGGUAACCUGCCCUUAAGACCGGGACAACAGCUGGAAACGGCUGCUAAUACCGGAUGUUUUCACUGGGAGGCAUCUCCUGAUGAAGAAAGCUGGCCUCUUAGCAAUGCUAGUGCUUAAGGAUGGACCCGCGUCUGAUUAGCUAGUUGGUGAGGUAAAGGCUCACCAAGGCGACGAUCAGUAGCCGGCCUGAGAGGGUAAACGGCCACACUGGGACUGAGACACGGCCCAGACUCCUACGGGAGGCAGCAGUGGGGAAUCUUCCGCAAUGGACGAAAGUCUGACGGAGCAACGCCGCGUGUAUGAAGAAGGCCUUCGGGUUGUAAAAUACUGUUGUUGGGGAAGAAACGGAUAUGUGUGAACAAUGCAUAUCUUUGACGGUACCCAACGAGGAAGCCCCGGCUAACUACGUGCCAGCAGCCGCGGUAAUACGUAGGGGGCGAGCGUUGUCCGGAAUUAUUGGGCGUAAAGGGCGCGUAGGCGGCCAUUUAAGUCUGAUGUGAAAGUGCGGAGC